rnacentral:misc_RNA from 1 species
CUUGGAGUCUUCGAGCGCAUGGUUUUUCUGCGGAGUCGAGCUGGAGAACCUCCUGCGAGUUAUACCGCCUUUCGACCUCGUGCAUCCGACCUUGGGAAAGCUCACUGUGGCUGUCUUCAACUGGCCGGAACGACGAGUCGAGCGGGGAAUGACUACCUGUCGUUCGUCCGGUGGCUCUCGAGCCCUGGACCAACCCAACUAUUCAAUCAAUGACCUCAAAUCAGGCAAGAUUACCCGCUGAACUUAA